UUUGUAUUCUUGAAUCUGGAUAAUUCGCUGAGUCAUGUUGGACUGAAAUUCUGUUAGAGCUGGAACAAUGUGAGACUAGUUUGCAUCCUAAGUUAGUUGCAUAGUAGUGUAGUUGCAUUUUCAUUGUUCUGUUUUAGUAUGCAUUGCUUGAGGGCAAGCAAUAGUUCAAGUUUGGGGGUAUUUGAUAAGUGGGUUUUACACCUACUUAUUGGAUAUCAAUUCACGCAAAUUAUGCCCAUCUUAAGUACAUUGUAGUAUGUUUUUAGUUGCAUUUCAUGUUAUUUUGCAUUGCAUAUACUUAAAACUCCUUUGGUGUAAAAGUGCAGGAUAUGGCAUGAUUUGGUGAGGCUAGAUGGUAUGAGGCUGAUGGAUGCAUGGCGUGAGGAUCAAGUGGAGCAAAGGGACUAAGAAUGAAUGAAGGAAAAGAAUGAGCAGCAAGAUCAGUUGCAGCAGCAGAACCAGAACUCAAAGUUGCAGAAGCCGCGCGGCUAUACAGGCCUACACACGCGCGCCCGCGCGAUGACCCGGAUUUGCCAGAUUUUGAAGACGCACGCUCGCGCGAGGAUUACACUAGGGGAGUGUGCGGCCGCGCACGAUGACUGCUGAUGCUGAGCUGUUUAUUUUAAUUUCUAAUUUUAAAGAGUUAUAACCACUUAAAACUAUUCUGACUGGUGUCAGACG
rnacentral:lncRNA from 1 species